UACGUAGGGUGCGAGCGUUUGUCCGGAAUUAUUGGGCGUAAAGGGCUCGUAGGCGGUUUGUCGCGUCGGGAGUGAAAUCCACUGGCUUAACUGGUGGCUUGCUUUCGAUACGGGCAGACUGGAGGUAUGCAGGGGAGAACGGAAUUCCUGGUGUAGCGGUGAAAUGCGCAGAUAUCAGGAGGAACACCGGUGGCGAAGGCGGUCUC
rnacentral:rRNA from 1 species